AUGCUCCUUCUCCCCAAAAAAGAGUCUGCUAGAACUCUGGAUAGUUUCAGGCCCAUAUCUCUGCAAAACUUCCCUCCCAAGGCGAUAGCCAAACUUAUUACCAACAGGAUCAAACCCCUCAUUCCGCUCUUGGUCCAUGCUGACCAAACCGGUUUCAUCUCGGGGAGGUGUAUUGCCGAAAACUUCAUCUAUGCUGCCGACCUUCUCAGUGCUUGCCACGCUAGGAAGGCGCCCACUAUGGUUUUCAAGCUUCAUUUCCACAAAGCUUUCGAUUCCAUCAGUUGGGACUCUCUCCUUCUCAUCUUGCACGCUAGGGGUUUCCCAACGAAAACUAUUAGCUGGAUCAGAACAUUGUUAGCCUCAAGCAAGACAGCUAUCCUCCUAAAUGGAAAACCAGGACCUUGGAUCAACUGUAAAAACCGUCUUCGGCAAGGGGACCCCCUCUCCCCUUACCUUUUCAUAAUCAUCGCAGACCUUCUCCAGCGCUUAAUCCUUCGGGCUUUCUCUCCAAACAUUCUCUGUCACCCAAUCUACAAGGAUCGCCCGCCCAUGGUGCUUCAAUACGUGGACGACACUUUAAUCAUAACCCUUGCCUCCAACCAAGCCGCGAUCACCCUCGAGGAUAUUCUCGACCAAUCGCCCUCGCUACCGGCCUUACCAUCAACUUUCACAAAACUACAUUCGUUCCCCUCAACACGGAUACCGUCACUACACAGAACAUUGCCCUCACCUUCAGCUCUGACCCUUCCUCCUUCCCUCAAAUUUACCUGGGCCUUCCGCUAUCCCACAUACGACUGCCCUCCUCCGCCUUCGAACCUAUCAUCCAACGCUUCCUAA
rnacentral:rRNA from 1 species